ACUAUUUUGGCAGAAUUAAGUGCAAUAGAUUUAGAAUCUGGAAAUAUGAUUUUAUCAUAGAUAGUA
rnacentral:tRNA from 1 species